GACAGAGGGUGCAAGCGUUGUCCGGAAUUACUGGGCGUAAAGAGCUCGUAGGUGGUUUGUCGCGUUGUUCGUGAAAACCGGGGGCUUAACCCUCGGCGUGCGGGCGAUACGGGCAGACUUGAGUACUGCAGGGGAGACUGGAAUUCCUGGUGUAGCGGUGGAAUGCGCAGAUAUCAGGAGGAACACCGGUGGCGAAGGCGGGUCUCUGGGCAGUAACUGACGCUGAGGAGCGAAAGCGUGGGGAGCGAACAGG
rnacentral:rRNA from 1 species